CCCAUAUUCAUCAUGUGUGGAAGAGCCAGAUGUCUGCGAAGAAAUGUCUUGUGAACAGUCGCCUGUUCGGAUCAGUGAUCCUGCAUCACAUUUUGACAAUGUGUAUUCGCAGUCAUCACAGACAUCUGAGACUACAUCUUGCUGCUUUGCAUUCCGUGGCAAAUGCAAACCGCUAGCAGGCUGAGACCAGACAGGGGGAAAAAAGAUACAGACUCUCCUAUCCUAAGUACAAGGCUGGACACCAUGUGGUUAAAGCAGUUAAAGAGAAUUGCACUUAUGACUAUGUUGAUGAACUAAUGGCAGAGCUGCUAAGGAUGAAAGAGGAGUACAAGAGCGAUGCCAAUGCAAGGGCUGCCUCUGGCAACAUUCUGUUUUCACCGCCACCCCUGUCUUCAUCUGCAAACAAAUCCUGAAGUCAGAGGCUGUGCAGAACCUUCGUUCGCAAUUUUAUUAGCGAACAGGGAUGGAAAUUAGUGGUUGCCCGUUUUGUUGUAUAGUUAUCUAUUACUUUUAAAGAAAGUAUUGGUUACACAUGACACUACAUGUAUAUAGUACUGGGCGCGUUAAGGCUUACGAUGGGAAACCAAAAAACUAUAGAUGGUUGUCCAUGUGGGCAACCAACUGUAAAACGUUAGUUUCCAUCCCUGGCGAAGCAAAAUCCAAUGUAUGAGUUGGACGGAAAUCUCUGGCGAAUGGCUGCCACAGCGCAUGACGGAAGAGGUCGUCGGUCCUUCUUGCUCAGACGGUGCCAAAUCCAACGAGCCAGUCUUCUAUAUGCAAUGUAUCUGUAUACUCUGAAGUUAUAAAUGUAUAAGGAUACCAUUAUGAUAAAUAUUAGUAUGUUUAGUAAAACAAAGGUACUUUUCAACUUGACAAUUACACAAGCCAUGCUGUAGCAGAUUCUUACUUAAGUUUACAUUUUAACAAACUUAUUCAGCUUGAAUAUAAUAUUAUAUAAUAUAUAUUUUACUGAAAAUAUGUCAGAAAUCAGAUUUUGUAAGCAACUUCACAUCAUGUUGUAGCAGGUUGUUAUUGUAGUGUACUUUUGAAAAAAUUAAACAGCUUGUAUUUAUAUUUUAUUUCAAAUGUUGAAAAAUAAUAAUGAACUGGCAUUUGUAAGUAACCAAAAAUCAUU